rnacentral:lncRNA from 1 species
GGAAUUCGACAAUGGCUUUCUUUAUAACUUGCUGCUGGUUAGGCAGAGGAGGAUCCACCUUACCAGCAAGGUUUGGCUACUGCCACACCUGCUUCCUGGCCAAACGGUCCACUCCACUUGAACAGUUCUCUUCACGGUCGACCUGCACAACAAAAUAACGAGAAAGCCAAAGUGGAUGUCUCUACAAAUGUGGGGCUGUACCUGGGCCUACUCGUCUGUUUUCCAUUAGCUUUUUGCUGCAAGACACCUUGUCCUCCUACUUAGCCCAUCCCAGUAUGCAUUAUUUGACCAUGCUAACGACCUUAACCAUGAUAACGACAAUGAUAGCUUGAGAAAAGUUGGUCCUUUGAUCCAAAAAUACAAAAAAAAGAAAGAUAUUGAAGCAUUCCAGAUACCUAAAGAACCUAAUCAAACAUCACAAGUAUAUAUAGCUUAUUAGAGCAACUUCAAGAAUCUCUUAAAAAAUUUUCCCCAAAAAUAUUAUGUAUUGGGGGUUCGAUCUCCUAAAUAUUUCUUUCCCCAAAAUCGUAUCAUCCCAUAGCAGAUGUCCAAUACUAUCCUCCCCAUUAUUUCAAAAUAGGCCAGAUCAGCAUAAAUGGGCCUAUGAGUUGGGCCACCCUCACCCUCCACCUCACGUGAACUCCCCCUCACGCAUGAUCUACUCCCGUCGCCCUUCUAGCACCGCCGCCACUCC